rnacentral:rRNA from 1 species
CGGAUCGCGGCGACGCUGGUGGUUCGCCGCCGGUGACGUUGUGAGAGUUCAUUAAACCUUAUCAUUUAGAGGAAGGAGAAGUCGUAACAAGGUUUCCGUAGGUGAACCUGCGGAAGGAUCAUUG